GGGUGUACGGAGAGAGGCUUCAUAUGAGUGUACAGGCAUGGCCGACUUUGAAGCCAGUAGCCCAGACCCCUCGCCGCAGCCGCCAGCAUGCUCAGUUACAGGUACACACAGCCACUUUCAGAUUUGAGGAGCGGAGCCAGAGGCGGAUUUGCCGCUAUGUACCCAAGACACUCCCUUGGGGCCCGGCUAGUACCAGGGGCCCGGCCGCGGCAUCCGCCGAUGAUAGAACAGCGCUGCACAUUAAAAGUACAUCUGUGCAGGCCAGGCCCCAGCAGGCUGUCGGCGCACAUGAUCGGACAGCUGCCGCUGGAAGCCUGCACCUGCUCGCCCACAUUAUGCUCCGUCAGUCACAGACAGAGCGGAUUUUAUGAUGAGCGAUAGAGGUGGUCGUCCUGCUGUCACACAUAAUUGAUCACAGGCACUGCCUCACUUGGCCUCCAGGAGCCGACCGCCGCCUCUCCGUCUCCUUUGAGAGUUCUCUGGCAGAAUCAGGGAGGCGCCGCCAGCAGGAUUCUGGACGUGCGGCCCCCUCCCUCAGCAGCCGCUUCAGACUGACAGUCUUCUCCAAGUUGCCGCCAGGUCAUGCACUGCCUGGACCUCCUCCACAGCACGGCUCUCCUCUCUACAGUGGGCCUGCUAUGUUCCCUAACAGGAGACCCGGCCAGCACAGCUCGUCUCUCUAGCAGGCCUCUCACGGUCAGUGAGUCCCCUUUCAUAAAUUCUCCUCUGGGGACUCAGUGGCGCACGCAGGGGGGGUUUCCGAGUACCUGGAAACCCCCCCUGAUGAGCCGAGUUAUCUUUUUGAGACAGAGACACAGGAGACACAGCUGAAAAAAAAAAAAAAAAAAAAAAAGACGCGAUCGCGGGGUGCGGAGCUGCAGCAACUACAGAAAGCUAAAGGCCAGUACUCACGGCCCGAUGCAGCUCUCUGCUUACAGUCAUGAAUGUCCCGGGGCCGGCAGCUCCCUCCGUCCUCACACAUUCGCCCCUCUGCUUCCAGCCCACUGUGUACACUAUAUAAGUCCUAGGACAUAGAGGCACAGACCGCACUUCAGCAGCACAAUUUAGAGAACCAGUCCUCCACCAAGGUACCAGUAGCACAGCAAUGGCGCCUGGGAUCACUCUAAAGAAGGAUGGCCAUCGGUGUACACCUCCAUGCCUGUUCCUGCUCCUUCUCAUCAGGGGUGUGAGGGGAACCAUUGAUCUGCAGUCAUACAAGCAAUGCAUGCUGACAGGAGUCGUAGAAGAACGCUCACAGCAGAAGAGCCGGUGACAGGCAGGGGAAAGACAACCUGCCAGUAUCUGUGGAAAACAGCGCUCCUCAGGAGAGAGAGCAGAUCUAGAGAGCUCGAGCACAUUGUGAAGGGCCAAAGUCCAGGGGUAUCACUUACUGUGGCUCCGUAGUGAUCCAGUCCCAAAGCAGUGGUUCCCCUGGAGAGAGAACUAGGGCAUAUCCUUACUUUGAGUAAUUGCAGUAACUAAGAACUACAGUGCAAGUGACAUUGAGGAGAGUGAUGCUGUGUCAGAGUACAGGGAGACAGUUAUCCUCCCCUGGGAGUCAGCCGUGGUAAGUAGCAUUGGAGAGACCCAAGGUUCCAUAUGCUCAGAGAUGAAACGUUGAUCCACCCGCCCCUGAGACUGUGAAGAACUUAGGUGAUAUGCAGGAGUUGAUAUGAAGAUUCUGCUGAAUGAGCACCAACCAAAUCAGCCUCGUCAGAAGCAGAGGAUGACAUGUCACAGUUUAGAAAGAUUUUUAUUAAUGAUCGUUGAAAACUGCCAAGAUCACUUGUCUAGUGUAGAACCAAAUACAUUCUACUAUAGUAUAUUCACCACGGAAUGUCACCAAGCCAUCCACCACAUGCACUAAUACAUUAAAGUUACCCCAACUAUUCUCAAACCUGCUCCAUUCUUAUACUGUAUCUAUAUCACUGACAUACAACUAAAGUUCCUGUACAACACAUGCACAGUACAUUAGGUGUUGCUAUGAGGUUGCCUAGGGUGACAAUGGUUACGGGGUGCCUAAAACACAUGGGUGUUUUUGCUAUCCCUGUGACACUGUCACACCAAGAGCUGGUUGUGGGCACUUCUUACUCAUCAAGCCAGUAACUGCUGCUCCUCCAUGUCUGUGAUAUGUUGGGUAGGGGUGGCCAUUGGUAGUCUAGUACUGAUGGCAAAUAAAUUUUUGACCAAAUGGUUUGAAACUUUCAAUGAGUGUGGCAAUGGUCUAAUGAGCAAAAACUACCACAUUCCACUUGCUAAAGUAAGAAAGAGGUGUGCAAAGGCCUAUGGUGUGCUGAUGCCUUGAGUAGGAGUGCAUCAAAAAAUGCACUUCUGUACGGGAUGUAGUUGACAUCCUGGCAUUCAGGAUCCCAGCUUUCAGAAUACUGGUGCCAGAAUCCCGACAGCUGUCAGAAGGCUGACACUGAAAUCAGGACAGCCGAAAUCCAGAACAUAAGUAUGCCGGGAGGGUUAGG